GGAGAACGAAACAGAUCGAGCGUAUGGUUCACUACAAGAAGACACAUACAAAUACAUUAGUAUUUGUAUGUGUCUUCUUGUAGUGAACCAUACGCUGGAUCUGUUUCG